GAUGCAAAAGGCUGGACUGCACAGGACUAGCUUGAGCUAAAGUGGAACUAGGAUUUUCCCUUGAAUCCUUGCCUUGCUUGAAGCAAGAUAUUCAAGCAGUAAACCCUUCAUCUAUAAAGAAGUGGUGGGUCUCCAUGGACCCUCUGUGAAGGUCCUUGUUCCCUUUGUACACAGGACAGGCUGAAUGCAGGGCCUUACCCACGGAUGCAAGAGGAGACUAAAUCUGGAAAAACAACCAAGCAACCCAAACAAGCAAACAUGACAUGAGUACCUGAGUGCUGUGCUUGGUUUGUGAACAGCAGGGGCUGCUGGGCUAGUUCUGCUGUUCUUGUUGUUCUUCACCUUCACCUCUCCUGUGGGAGCAGCAUUUGAUCACCCCCCUCCACAUUGUGCCAACAGAUGCUUCUCCUGCUGCCCCUGAAAUACUUGGGCAGUAGCCCCCUGGCUUGUUUCUGAGGUAGGUUUUGUCACUGUGAGCAAAGCAGCCCCUGCUGCAGGUGGCCUCAGAGCCAGUGUCCCAGCUGCUUGCUCAGGACAGUUUGCAGGCAGUAUGGGGUGUGGUGGACUCUCCCAUGUCCUACCAAGGUUCCUGGCACCCUGCCCCAGCACUGGCUGCCCUGGGAGCUGCAGAACACACAAGUGAGUGGGGCCAGGGGGGUUCUUAAUGCAGGACAUGACUUGUGCUGUGCAAGUUUGUCUUAGUCUUACUGUGCUCUUCACUGAUGAGGAGCUCUUUGUCUCCUGCUAGUGCUGCUUCCCUUGAGGCAUUUUCCCCUUCUCUUUUUGCCAUCUUUACAGCUUGUUUUCCUUGUUUUCCUUCCUGCAUCUGCAAGGCUGCCUCCAACAAAGCCCUGGCAGACAAUCUUAUCUUGAAGCACAAUGAGUCCCGCUCCUUUUACUAGGAUAUGUGCCUGCUCAAACCCUUGGCUGGAGCAAGGCCCGGGUGGGGAGCACGGCCCCACAGGCAGCCCUGCCUCGGGCACUGCCAGCUGUGGCCUGGGCAGGGGCAGGGCAGAGCCAGGGCCCAGCAGGGAGGGCAGGAGGCUGCGGGGGCCCAGCUGUAAGCAGGCACUCGAGAGGCUUGCUCUGCGCGUGCCGUUUCUGACGUGGAAUGCUAUUAAUUAAACGGGGAGCAGAAAUGACUGAGGCUAUUUUUUCCCCCUUGGCUUAUUCACUUGAUUUGAAAGGCCUUUUAUUUAUUUAUGUAUUUAUUUCCCUCCCCCGCAUUUGCGGGUUUAGUAUUUUGGUGAUCAAAAUAGAUCUGCUCUGGAGCAUCUGUGGGAAAGGGCCUCACACUUACUUUGGGAGGGAAGGGGGCUUGAGAACUGUCACUGCUUAUGCCUUGAAGCAUAAGCAUGUUCCUGAUAGCUAGUGCACCUGAUACUAUAAAAGAAAGUGCAGAUGCAAAUAGCAACAAAAUUAAUUAAAGAAAAUGAGCUGUUCCUUUUGCCUGACCACACCUUGCAAACCAGGAAAUACUUCCUCUUUUGCAGAAACAGGAAGACUGUGCUGUCCUAGCUGGGGUAGUCUGCAAGUCUCAGGUAAUGUUCCCAGAGCUGGCUGCAUGCAGGAGAGGAACGCUGGGCAGGCACACUUAGCAGCUCCUUUCUCUGGAAGCUAUGGCUCUGAGAGUGGUCAGCCCUCUGACAUUGUCCUUGCAGAGGCAAGAAAAACUGAGUUAAAAGGGGCUUCAAUUCAACUCAGUUUUUACUCUUUUUCACAUUUGCAAGAGAAGACAAAAUCUGAAGGAGCUCUGCUGUUGGGCACGUUGUUGAUGCCUCCUUUCUCAUUACUAAGGGGAACUGUUAUAAGAAGUCUGAGCAAAACCUAUUCCCCCCACACUGUCAUUUAAAAUAACAAGGAACAAAUGCAUGUUGUAGACACCACUUCUGUCCUUGAGAUGGAUGCCUGAUACUUGUCAUGCUGAUGUAGAGUUCAAGGAUGGCCAGCAAUGAAACAGAGGCUGCUUCCUCUGGACCUCCACCAUGGAAAACUGAGUGCAGGUCUAUCAGGGCUUCAGAGGCUUUCAUUUUGUUCUCAAUGGGAAUUUUUAUUAUCUUCCUGACAGAAGUAUUGAGCUGAUUGGAGAAAUAUUUUUAGGUGCAAUCCUAACUGUCUGCAAGAAAUUAAAGACCGAAAAGGAAAAGGUGGCUUUUGAAAACAAACCUGACUUUCACUGCUAACUAUCCUGUGUAGUAAGUGACUAAAAAACACCAACCAACAACAGAAAAAGAAAAAAAUCCCCAACAACCCAGAACCAGAAGGCAAAAGGAAGGUAAGAGUAGCAGGAGAGAGUGUUGGAGAUUCCAUGAGCUCCGUUCCCAGCCGCCUGUCGUGAGUCUGGGAAGGCUCAGGAAUGAAACCCUGCAGGUCUGUGGUGAUGACAUACUCAUCUGCUAUGGACCAGAAGAUGAUUCUGACACAGCUCAUUACGUUUCUAUUUCUGACGACGUCCAUUGUUGGAUUUAAUGAAUAAGUGAUGUUUUGAACUGAUAAAAACCCUGCAGCUAAUUUCCCAUUUUAUGUUGUGAUGAACAAGCCAAGAGAUUCAGACAAGCUGUAAAAGGCCUUUAUCACAUGAUUUCAGACUUAAUUCAAAGUGGGAGGUGCUUGUCAAAGCUAACUUGAAAGUUUCUCUUACCUCCACCCCCAAAGUGGACAUAAGAUUCCCACAGACUAAGCAGUGUUAUCUCUAAAACAAGACAGCAAACUACCAACACUGUUGGUAGUUCAUUAUCACAGGGAAAUAUAACGUAUUAUGAAAUGUAAAAAUGGUGAUUAAUUAUUUCACUGUUAAUCCUUUUAGAGACAAAAUACUGCCUUUGUUUAUCCCACAGUGUGCAUCUUCCUCCUCCUUCUCCCUGCAUACCCAAGGCCAACCUGUCCCAACCCACUUGCUUAUGUUUCCAGGCUUGAUCCUCACACCUUUGGUCAUGCAGUUAUGGGCUCCCCAUAGGAAAUCACUUGCUACACCAAAAUCAGGGGAUGUGAGCAUAAAAAAAGAAGUGAAACAUCAAAAUAAAUCUUUCUGGGGACUGCCACAAAAGUGGUGCAAUUAAUUUUUGCCUUACAUUUCUUAAAAGUCUGCCAUCAAAAGGUAAACAAAGCUGCCACAAAACUUCUUUUCUGAUUUAGGAUGUUGAUAUCAAAGACUGUCAUGACUUCAUUGCACAGUGUGGUUCACCUUAGAGUAGAUUACACAACAGCCUGGUAGAGUUGGAAAAAUUCAGGUCUGAAAACAUUUACUGCUUCAUAGUCAUAAAUGUUUUGGGGUUUUUUCGAAAGCUCAACAGUAGGUGCUCUUUUCUGUGCCUCAGAGACAAAGGAAAAUGAAGCCAUAACAGCCCUCAGACAGAUUUUUAUGAGUCUAAAGACCAAAAAUAAUGUCUGGCACAGAUUAUUUAACUGGACUAAAGGCGAAAUUAAUUCCCUUAGCAGCAGGGAAUUUGAUUUACCAUUUCCUUAAGGCUUUUGGUAGAACUGGGAGCAUGAGAGCCUGGUCUGGUAUGUGAUGCCACAGGAGGUUUUGCCACUCUCACAUCCUGACAGGACAGGCUGACCAUUGUGGAUAGGACUUUUCCUGCCUGUCAGAAAGAACAGAAAGAAAUGGACUUUACUCCACAAAGGACUUCUCUGGGAUUUCAGUCAUGGAUUGGUGUCCCUCUGUCCCUCCUGUGUAGAAUCUGUCUUCCCAAGAUAUUACCAAGCCCCGGAAAAGAAGCAAAACCCAACAAUAAUUCAGACAAGAUGUAAGUGCUGCUGGUAGUUUGUAAAAAGGCUCUGAAGGAGAGGGUGCCUUUCCCUAUUCCCAAGGAAACAUGGCCCUGACUGAGGAAGGUACUUUUGAGUUCAGAUUGCUUCUGAAGUCUCCAGAGAGUUCGUCGUUUUUCCUUAUGCAUAUGUGCCUGUCUCCCUGUAACUGGGAGCCACAGCCACCUUCCCUACCCUGACUCCAAGGGGACUUAUGGGGGUGUGUUAAUGCCACUCUGCAGCACCCAGGAUUGGACACUGAUGGGAAAAUCUAUAUAAAACAAGUAACUGAACACUUCCAAAGGUAAUGACGUCUGCAUGUGAUUACUUGUUUGGCUGCACUGGCUGAAGCUGUAGCUGCUAACUCAGCAGACUGUAAGUAGACACUAUUGUCUUUUCAGUGAGUUCUGGCUGCAGUUCAGGAUGUUAAUAAUAUCUAGAGAGCUACAGGAGGCUUGGAUCCCAUCUAUCAGGAACCACCUCUCUCUCCACAUGCAAUCACAGCAGCAAGGCUGGGGAGAUGAUCUUGCUGACAGUUCCCUAAUUUAGCAAUGAGUGGCAGGCAUUUGUUAGGGAGAUCUGUACUGAGUCCAUUAUUUAUUAAGCUAUCACUUAGGAUCUAGAACAGGUGUAUUUAUUUGUAGGGAAGUCUGUAAAAAUCUUGAUGGCUGUUCUAACAUAUGUUUAUGCAUCAAAGUCAAUGCUAGGGGGAUGCUUUAUUUUUAAAUUAGGAACAAAAUAUUCCCUAAAAGCUAAAUAUCUGGACAUGUUGUUAUAUUCUUUCCCCAACACUUAUGGCAGCACUGGGAGAACACCCCAGCCAAGCUGACGGGCAGCCAAAUAUAAUUUAUGGUUUGUUUUAAACUGAUUUGUUGACUUCAUGAAAGGCCCUGUCAAAAAGAACAGUCCCCCGAGUCCUAACAAUGAUAAGAGUUAUAUUGCAUCAGCACUGAAAAACUCUUGGAUAACAGUGAGCCUACCCUGAGAAAUCUUUUUAAAGUGUCUGAACAUUGGAUUUUCUGAAAAGAAAUGAAAUUCAAGCUAUUGUUUCAUCGUUCUUUUCAGUUUUCUUCAUUCUUUAUUCAUCUGAUUUUCCACUGAUUGGAAUACUCUCUUGGUAGCAUGAAAAUAGUUAUUUCAGUUAAUUAAAAAUAAAGAUGUGUGUUGUUUAAGGGA